UACAGAGGGGGCAAGCGUUGUUCGGAAUUACUGGGCGUAAAGGGCGCGUAGGCGGCCCGUUAAGUCGAACGUGAAAUCCCCGGGCUCAACCCGGGAACUGCGUCCGAUACUGGCAGGCUUGAAUCCGGGAGAGGGAUGUGGAAUUCCAGGUGUAGCGGUGAAAUGCGUAGAUAUCUGGAGGAACACCGGUGGCGAAGGCGGCAUCCUGGACCGGUAUUGACGCUGAGGCGCGAAAGCCAGGGGAGCAAACGGG
rnacentral:rRNA from 1 species